rnacentral:rRNA from 1 species
ACAUUGCCCCAUGAAAUAAAUAUGGGGUAAUACCUGCCCAGUGACAUAGUUUAACGGCCGCGGUAUCCUAACCGUGCAAAGGUAGCAUAAUCACUUACCUAUUAAUUGUAGGCUAGAAUGAAGGGGUUAACGAAAUAAAGACUGUCUCAAUUAAUUACCUAAAAAUUAUUUUCUGCUUGAAGAAAAGCAGAUAAACUCGAAGGACAAGAAGACCCUAUAGAGCUUAAUUUUAAUUAUAGAGCUACGCUAUAAGAAUAUUCGGUUGGGGCGACCCAGGGCUAAAUAAUCACCCACUAUAUAAAAGAUAAAUUAAUCAAUCAAUUGACCCUUAAAAGAUCACUAAACCAAGCUACCUUAGGGAUAACAGGCUAAUCCCACUCAAGAGUCCUUAUCAACAGUGGGGCUUGGCACCUCGAUGUUGGCUUAGGGUAUCUAUAUAGCGCAAAAGUUAUAUAAAGAUGGUUUGUUCAACCAAUAAUUCCCUACGUGAU